rnacentral:rRNA from 1 species
UACGUAGGGUGCAAGCGUUGUCCGGAAUUAUUGGGCGUAAAGAGCUCGUAGGCGGCUUGUCGCGUCGGCUGUGAAAACCUGGGGCUCAACCCCGGGCCUGCAGCCGAUACGGGCAAGCUAGAAUUCGGGAGAGGGAUGUGGAAUUCCAGGUGUAGCGGUGAAAUGCGUAGAUAUCUGGAGGAACACCGGUGGCGAAGGCGACAUCCUGGACCGGUAUUGACGCUGAGGCGCGAAAGCGUGGGGAGCGAACAGG